AUGCUGUUGACGUGGUCGGGACUCUGUUCACGUGACUGUUGUUAACAUGACGCUUAUAACUGCGCUGUGGCGGACAUGACAGCUCACAGCUCCUCAGAAGCUCCGUGAGCUGUCCAGUGAGGGGAUGGUUUCAUGAUCAAAUCUUCAUUUACCGUCCACAUUAUCAGAUGAGGACGUCACCAAAGAGUGUCCUUUGAGUCGAUGUUUACAUUUAUGUACAGAUAAUUAAGAACAUUUAGUUUAUCGUAAAAUGCUAAUUAUUUUCUCCUGCCACCUUUCAGACAGUCAUCCAAUUUGGAUGGAACAACUUCGUGACCUUAAUGACACCCAGCAACACGGUGAGAUUAUAAUCCAUUUAAAUGCAAGAAGCAUGACAUUUUUUAAGAUGUUUUUUCUUUAUUUGUGUUAGAGAUGCACACAAGCACCACAGGGGAGGAACUGCAGCAAAGGGCCCACCGGAAAUCAAACCUUGGCCGCUAUGAUGACGACAACAUGGGGCACUUGUGUGAAUCUAGCCUUUUCAUUUUGAUUUACAACCUUGGCAUUGAAAAGAGCAAAAGUUGAUGCUUGAGAUGAUUUUGGUUUUACUGAAGAGGAUGUACGUCUUCCCCUUGUCCUUUAUCUCCUUACUCUUUCUUUUUAGGUGUGACUACGACUACCAGCAUGGACCUCGACACCUUCUUUGCUGUUCCACUAGUGUGACCCAUGAUCGGAUACAAGUUGUCAAGGAUAAACGGUGAGAGAAUCAUGUCAGCCCACAGACAACCGAUUGACCUGUGAGUCUUCAAGCAGUAAUGAUGACUACGCCUGCCUUAAGUUCCAGUUUCCUGAACAUCAUGGCAUGUCUGCAGGAGAUUCGGUCCCCACCUGUCUUCAGUCUGGACCUAAUGACUCAGACACCAGUCUUGUCGAGGCUAAAUCGAGAGAGGAUCACCUGAUGUCAACAUACGAGUUUUCAAGAAGAACUUCCUGAACUUUGUGUCCGUGUGAGACUCUACCAUGCUGGGUGCCCUCUUCAGUCAAGCCUGGACACAGAGACUCAUUGCUCUUAAUCAACUCUGGGCAAGUGGCUAAUCUUUUGCUUAUUCAUGGGAUAUCCUUCAUGUCCACACCCUUUUUCUUCAAGAUCUCAACAAUGCUUUGUGAGUAUACAACACAUGUGAGUGGAUCAGUUCAACCUGUUUUUCACAGAAUGUUAGUUUCUUAAGGUUUUCAUCAACGAUGGUUUGUAUCUUGUUUUCCAAAAGGUGUUAUUAAGAUAUUUCCAUUUGUAAUUUACAAUAAUCAAAUGUUGACUGUAAAAUCUAUGCCAACCUAUUGUUAUACACUGUACCAUGUUUUAGCAAAGGAAUUCUGGUGACUUUAGUUGCCAGCAACUUCCUUUGAACUUUGUAAUAAAAUACCGUAACUGUAAUAAAGUUUACAGUAUAUAACUGUUGUUUUUACAAAACUUACUGUCAUGUCUUGUAUGUUCACCGUUAAUUGGAACUUUUCAAUAAAGUACCAUAAUAUAUUAUACAGUU